CGUCGGCACGGGCAGGGCAGGCCGAUCAAAGCGCGACAAUACGCCGGAGACUGGGCGAGGCGUCGCGAGUGGCGUAACAGGCAGAGGCGGCGAUAGAGAUGCCGCCAUGGUAGUCGAAGGAGCCGCCGACGACGUCGCGUCCGGCAUGGUUUGCGGGUGGCGACGCCUUCUGGCCUCGAACAUGGCGUCCCAGCCAACGAGUGAGCCGUGGGCCGCGCUGCCCAAGUAACAUUGAACGGCAUCGAUUUCGGGUUCCUCGGCGAGGACGAUGGCCAGGGCGCUCACGAGCGCGUCAACCGAGUCGAGCGGGAUGACACGCUCGCGCGCGUUCGACUGCGUCCUGCGGAGGACAAAGCGCCAGCCAGCCUCUUCGAGCGCAUGGGUGACCAUGACAAGCACGUCGUGUCCACGCGCAUUCUUGCCCGUCCUCGUGAUUUGGCGCACGACGUCGGCCAACGACGCAAACAUGCCGUCGAUCGUCUUGCGCACGUUCUGCGCGGCCACGUCUUGGGCGUCGCCCCAGCGCGCUGCCACGUUGGCGGCCUCUUGACGCAUCCAGUAGGCACGGCACCAUUUGGCGCUGGGCGAGGGCGCCCGCGGCGGGAGCAUGUACUGCCACACACGCUCAAUGUCGUCCGGGUUGGGCUUGAGCCCGUACAGCCGCGCGCCGUCGUCCAAGUACCACGCGCCAAAGAGAUCUAUGGCGCUGCGGUCGUCCCUGGCAUCGCCCGUCAACGGUCUGGGUCCUUUCUUGUUGCCGCCGCUGCCACUGUUGCUAUCGCCGACGGCGGCGAGGCUGCCGAUCUUGCUCUUGCUGUUGUUGUUGUCUCGGCCCGGCGACAGUGGCGACGCCUCAAGAGUCGUGGUAUUCGCCACCGACCUCAUUGCCGUCGUUGUUUGUGUGUGCGCGUGCCUACGUCACUCUCUUGUCUUCUUUUUCUACUGACCCCCUCCCCCCUCAUUGAUGCCCUGUUUUUCCAACACACAAAAAGGCGCUACGCCAUUGGCGAUCGUGCGUCAACUUUUUAUUGGUC
rnacentral:lncRNA from 1 species